UCCCGGUUCAGGAAUCAUUACCAACCUCUGUCCUAUGUGACACCAGCCGGGACUAUCCUGCUAACCCACUUGUUUAUACCACAUCCCUCUGCUCAGAGACCCCCAAAGUACCGAAGCUGAUCCAGUUUACCGGAUCCAUCCGCAGCUCCCACGUCCACUAUAGAGCAGCUGUCUGCAGUAAGAGAUUACAAACCUAGUGGAGCAGCCGCUAGGCAUUAAUCCCGGUUUAUCGUCUGUGACUGCAGUAAAGUCAGCCCUGAUCACCAGCCCAAGCUGUCCGUGUGCUCCAUACCUUCUGUCCUGCAUGAUGACUC